AUUGAACGCUGGCGGCAGGCCUAACACAUGCAAGUCGAGCGGAUGAAGGGAGCUUGCUCCUGGAUUCAGCGGCGGACGGGUGAGUAAUGCCUAGGAAUCUGCCUGGUAGUGGGGGAUAACGUCCGGAAACGGGCGCUAAUACCGCAUACGUCCUGAGGGAGAAAGUGGGGGAUCUUCGGACCUCACGCUAUCAGAUGAGCCUAGGUCGGAUUAGCUAGUUGGUGGGGUAAAGGCCUACCAAGGCGACGAUCCGUAACUGGUCUGAGAGGAUGAACAGUCACACUGGAACUGAGACACGGUCCAGACUCCUACGGGAGGCAGCAGUGGGGAAUAUUGGACAAUGGGCGAAAGCCUGAUCCAGCCAUGCCGCGUGUGUGAAGAAGGUCUUCGGGUUGUAAAGCACUUUAAGUUGGGAGGAAGGGCAGUAAGUUAAUACCUUGCUGUUUUGACGUUACCAACAGAAUAAGCACCGGCUAACUUCGUG
rnacentral:rRNA from 1 species